CGCAGCCUUGUCAAAUUCAGUGUUUCCCUCCUCGAUGGAUUCCACUGGCCAAAAUGGCUGCCACAGUAAAGAUGUAGUUCAUGGGCCCCACAGCGCUCCUACAUGGCCACUGGGGAUAAAUAUGUACUACAUAUAAAC